rnacentral:rRNA from 1 species
CCUACGGGAGGCAGCAGUAAGGAAUAUUGGUCAAUGGACGCAAGUCUGAACCAGCCAUGCCGCGUGCAGGAUGACUGCCCUAUGGGUUGUAAACUGCUUUUGUACGGGAAUAAACCCAGAUACGUGUAUCUGGCUGAAUGUACCGUAAGAAUAAGGAUCGGCUAACUCCGUGCCAGCAGCCGCGGUAAUACGGAGGAUCCAAGCGUUAUCCGGAUUCAUUGGGUUUAAAGGGUGCGUAGGUGGACUUGUUAGUCAGUGGUGAAAUCCUGCAGCUUAACUGUAGAACUGCCAUUGAUACUGCAAGUCUUGAGUGUGUUUGAAGUGGGCGGAAUGUGUCAUGUAGCGGUGAAAUGCUUAGAUAUGACACAGAACACCGAUUGCGUAGGCAGCUCACUAAGCCACAACUGACACUGAGGCACGACAGCGUGGGGAUCAAACAGGAUUAGAUACCCUGGUAGUCCACGCCGUAAACGAUGAUCACUCGAUGUUGGCGAUACACAGUCAGCGUCUUAGGGAAACUAUUAAGUGAUCCAUCUGGGGAGUACGGUCGCAAGAUUGAAACUCAAAGGAAUUGACGG